GACGAACGCUGGCGGCGUGCUUAACACAUGCAAGUCGAACGGAAAGGCCCUGCUUUUGUGGGGUGCUCGAGUGGCGAACGGGUGAGUAACACGUGAGUAACCUGCCCUUGACUUUGGGAUAACUUCAGGAAACUGGGGCUAAUACCGGAUAGGAGCUCCUGCUGCAUGGUGGGGGUUGGAAAGUUUCGGCGGUUGGGGAUGGACUCGCGGCUUAUCAGCUUGUUGGUGGGGUAGUGGCUUACCAAGGCUUUGACGGGUAGCCGGCCUGAGAGGGUGACCGGCCACAUUGGGACUGAGAUACGGCCCAGACUCCUACGGGAGGCAGCAGUGGGGAAUAUUGCACAAUGGGCGGAAGCCUGAUGCAGCAACGCCGCGUGCGGGAUGACGGCCUUCGGGUUGUAAACCGCUUUCGCCAGUGACGAAGCGUGAGUGACGGUAAUGGGUAAAGAGGCACCGGCUAAGUACGUG
rnacentral:rRNA from 1 species